AGGGAAUAUUGGGCAAUGGACGCAAGUCUGACCCAGCCAUGCCGCGUGCAGGAUGAAGGCCCUAUGGGUUGUAAACUGCUUUUUUACGGGAAGAAACACUCCGACGUGUCGGAGCUUGACGGUACCGUAAGAAUAAGGAUCGGCUAACUCCGUGCCAGCAGCCGCGGUAAUACGGAGGAUCCAAGCGUUGUCCGGAUUCAUUGGGUUUAAAGGGUGCGUAGGCGGGCUAUUAAGUCAGAGGUGAAAUCUUGCGGCUCAACCGUAAAAUUGCCUUUGAAACUGGUAGCCUUGAAUUCGGUCGAGGUGGAUGGAAUGUGUCAUGUAGCGGUGAAAUGCUUAGAUAUGACCCAGAACACCAAUUGCGAAGGCAGUUCACUAGACCGACAUUGACGCUGAGGCACGAAAGCGUGGGUAGCGAAC
rnacentral:rRNA from 1 species